rnacentral:rRNA from 1 species
GACGAACCGUGCGAACGUUGUUCGGAAUCACUGGGCUUAAAGGGUGCGUAGGUGGGCAGGUAAGUCAGUGGUGAAAUCUCCGGGCUUAACCCGGAAACUGCCAUUGAUACUAUCUGUCUUGAAUACCGUGGAGGUGAGCGGAAUAUGUCAUGUAGCGGUGAAAUGCUUAGAUAUGACAUAGAACACCAAUUGCGAAGGCAGCUCACUACACGAAUAUUGACACUGAGGCACGAAAGCGUGGGGAGCAAACAGG